GCUAGGAUUUUGUUUUCCUCCUUCAAUCACCGUAGCGGUGUAGCCAUUCUCUCUUCCUCUCCCUCCGCAGUCUCUCUCGUUUGCUGCCGCCGCCGCGCAAGACGCCGCCGCCACACUUGGAGGUUAGUUAAUCAUUAUUUUUUUCUCAAUAGUCAAGAAAUUUAAUUAUGCUUGCAAUGAAAACUUAAAAAUCUAUUCAGUAUUUUCACUGAAAAUAAUUUUAUUUGUAUAUGUAUCUGGUCACUACCUCUAUGGUAAAUACUAAAUAGAGCAGCACUAUCUAAUCUAGUGUAGUAGAUGUAGAUCAACUCAAACUUUUAUGAACAGAAAAGAAAAGAAAGUUGUGGAGGCACGUGAAGUGCCAUCAACUUCUGUGUAUGUGUUGUGGCCAGUGGCAGUGAAGGGUGUCUUUUGGAUGCUUGCUUUUCUAGCUGCAUAAAUAUGUAAUUAUUGGAGAAAGAGAACCGUUAUGCGUGACAAUGUAAAUUGACCUCACCAUUGUUUUAUAUUAUUCAUUUAACGUUUUAUUAUAAUGCUGUUGAAUGGUCCUUGUUGCUAAAAUAUUAUUAUACUUUACUGCUAUUACUGCUGUAACCUGUAAGUGAUUAAUCUUUGUUGAAUGAGACUUGAUUAGUAAGCUGAGUUAAUUAGAAUUUCUAAGGGGGGACAAAAUCUAAGAUAGCAGUAGCUUAGGCAUGGUGGAUGAACUCAAUAAACUAUUUAUACUCAAAUUGGUUUGGAAUUUUGGUUUGGUUUGAGAAAUCAAUUCAUUUUAAAAUGUAAUCAAACUAAACCCUUCUGGAUCCUUCCAAGUUUCAGGGUCUCUAUGGAUGGCAAACACAUUUACGUAUACUAUCGUCUUGGCUUCAAUUUCAUACCCUGCUAUUCUGCUAUUUUUGUUGAAUUCUCUUGGUACCAAUGGUGCAGGUGCAUAAUAUCUUAAUGUUUCUUUGAUCACUGCUUUCAGAUAAACAAGCUUUUCAAUAUCUUCAUCUUCUAUGAAUGGUUUCUUGCCAUAUAAACUUCGUAUCUUCUUCCGAACGCAAUCCUGCACACUAUAGAACUCGACACGGACAUCAAUAUCUCACUCAGAUUCGUGGUUU
rnacentral:lncRNA from 1 species